ACAUAAAUAUAGCAGCAAUGUUUAUUGCUUACGACUAAGAAUCAAAUGAGUGUGGUCAAAGAAAUUACAACGAAGACAAGUAUACGGGUGGUUCUGAAACUGGAUAAAGGAUGUGAUUUCGACACUCUUUUACCAUUGAUAUCAGCGGAUGAGAAGAUCACUGCAGAUCAUUUUCUUUACCUGACAAUACCUGACUUUCGAGUUUCAGAGAAAACAAUAUGGCAUUAAAAGUCGCAAUUGUCGGUGUUCUUCUGGUUGCUCUUUUGAUUGCAACUAAUGUUUCCAGCGAAGAUAAAUCUCUGAGCGAAGAGGACAUGGAGGGAUUUCCAGAACCUAGUGCGUACCAGAAGUGCAGGUCUAAUAUGGGGAGUGAAUCAUUUUGCAGACAACUUAAACCCUUUGACGAAUGGACUGACUGAAGAGCCACAAAACAUGAGAUAAAUGGAAUUGAAAGCUGCCCAUUCUUCUGGAUCAACAUGCAGGGGAAAUGCUUAAAAAUUCUGCUACAUCAACGUGUUCACUCUUAAUUUGUUAUUCAUCUACUGAUUAAUGCCUGUCCAUGAUAUGUCCAUCAUAUUCUGUGAUAGACCAAUUGACUAUAUGAAGCAUAUUACACACGCACAUAGCUCCCAAUUUCUCAAUCCAUCUUUAACCACAUAGGCCUCCAUAAUUAUGAGAGUACCAUUGGUCUAUAACAUGUAUAAGGUCUAUAUAAUUAACAUCCUUAACAUCCCAAAGUGUGAUUCAAAAGAAUAAAUGGAGCAACUCACAAAAUUACUGAAUGUUCUUGUCUGUUAGAUCUGCCAUUAGAAAUCAAUCAUUGUUAAAUGAUGGCUACUCAAUGGCCCGUAUUCUGAAGUCAGGUUUAACUUAAACUCAGGUUUAAAGUUGUGGAUUAAGUAUGGGAAGCAAAAAGUAUCAAAGAUUUUAUUAAGUUGUGUGUUUUUUUAUGUUUACCGUGCUCUUUCCUGAUCCAUCGAUGGUGAAGACAAUCAUCUAUUU